GUGUCAGCAGCCGCGGUAAUACGGAGGGAGCUAGCGUUAUUCGGAAUUACUGGGCGUAAAGCGUACGUAGGCGGCUUUGCAAGUUAGAGGUGAAAGCCUGGAGCUCAACUCCAGAACUGCCUUUAAAACUGCAUCGCUUGAAUCCAGGAGAGGUGAGUGGAAUUCCGAGUGUAGAGGUGAAAUUCGUAGAUAUUCGGAAGAACACCAGUGGCGAAGGCGGCUCACUGGACUGGUAUUGACGCUGAGGUACGAAAGCGUGGGGAGCAAACAGGAUUAGAUACCCUGGUAGUCC
rnacentral:rRNA from 1 species